GCUCCAUGUAUCUUCAUCUUAGGAUCCAGACUGAUGGAAGAGCUCCCAUCUGGGACAUGAGAAUCUCAUGGCAGAGGGAAAAAGAGCAAAGGCGGAACCUUGUGAUGGCUUUUAGAGUUCCUGCUUAGAUAAGGGGAAGAAGGUGGACUCCAUGGCUUAGCUGAAAGCCGGCUCGGUACUCCCCUCAAGCAGCCUGUGCAUCACAGAUUCCUGCCAGGCCCUCCGGAGCAUGUGCCCCACGCCCUGGCCCAAGGUCUCUUCCCAAAGAGGGGUGAUCUCUCUUCCCUCAGCGCUUUCUCCAAAAAGGGCUGACAUUGGACUGCUGGGCCUCAGCAUGAUUGAAACCUGGGGAGAAGGGCCAGUUCAGGAAGGAAAGCAAGGUCCUGGGCCUCAUGCAAAGAAAAGUGUCCUGCAAGUGAAUGCAUAUAUUCCUGCUAUAUGGACUCCACGUGGAAGAGCCAGGCUGGCGGACAUUGUCACCGACCACUUGAGGAAUAGAAGCAAAGACCUCGAAAUCUGCAAAACGCAGCGAAAUUGAUCUCGAAAAGAAUAUCCCGGCAUCUGGUAAGGUGGACUUCUGUUUCCUAUUUUUCAACAACACCGUGCUUUUCGUUUCAUGUAUUGAUCUGACCGACGUUUACUGGGUUCCUAGUGUGUCCAGGCGUUAUGCCAGGGUCCCGAGUAUAAUCAGGUGUGGACCUCACCUGGGAAGAGCUUACAGUCUAACGAUGGUGAGAGAGAGGAAGAAGCAGGCAGAAAGGGGCGGGCAGAAAUGGGACAGAGAUAAAAGAUAUCAAAGGGGGUGUAAGGGGAAAGGGAAGUUGGUCAUGGAAUAUCGGAAUUCCACUUGGAUUGUGUUGCUUCUUCUGUGGACCUGCUCCCCCAUCAGCAAAGGAGGAGGACAGGUCAGGAACACACAGGAAGGAAGUGUUGCCACUUGCCAAAGGUGCGUUGGUGUCCCCAGAGCAGCGUUCUGGGGCGGAUGCUGUGCCGUUGUUCGCCAUGUGUGUUUGUUAGCGCGGGAAUGAUGCUUCCCCAGGGACCCUUGUCAGGCCCGCACGAGGCCACUGCGGUGUUGGCACGGAAGGCCCUGCAUCUGUUCCUUUUACUUGUUCUGUUAAAGAGAAAGGCCCACUGAGGGUGUGCCGGGGGAUCCAAACCGCUGGUCAUAGGGCAAUUACUUAUUACGAGCCUUGAAUACAUUCCUGAUUGUAUAAGGUUUCAUUGUGUUUUUACGCGGAGGGCAGACUUGGGGAGUCAAUUUGGCAGCCGAGACAGGGAGGAGAAAAGAGCUUUCAGGGAUCAUUCUGGAUGUUAAAAGUGCACUUCGAGGCAGAGGUUCAGGGAUAUAGUGCAAUUCUGGGGACUCCACCAGAAACCUCUCGAAUCCGCAUUAGCGCUUAACCCUCCGUGGGAAGUCAUAAAGAGAGAUAUUUCCCCCUUUCUCCUAACAAUAAUGUGACUUCCCCUCUAAGUAGCUCAACUGCUGGGCUCUAGGGUACCUGAGGGUAAAGGAGAAUCAGCUUCCCAAAUGCGGAGCUGUUCCUCCAGCAUCAAGGCCAAGGCCGUCUGCAGCCCGUGGGCCCUGGGAUGAGCUGGAGGAAGUGGGCCAAGGGCUGGCUGGGGGAGACGAUGCCGCUUGGGGCGAAGUCUCACGUUCUCCAUCUGUGACAAGCAGGGGUCUGACCAGACUAGCACUGAGAGCCUUGGUCCUCCCAGCUUGGAAACACUGUGAUUCCUUGAUCUCAUGGACCAACUGCCAUGACCUUCCUAAAACAUUGCUGAGGGUGACAGAAUGGUUCAUUCUUGGGUUGUGUUUAAGUAACAUCAGGGACUCAACUCAGAGAAGAGCCUCUCAUUCCCGAUGCACAAGCUCACAUGUGUGCCACAAACUUGAAUUCCAUCCAGGUCUGCCCCGGUCAUGAAGUCUCUAAUCACCACCACUAGCUCCUCCUCCGUUACCCUAUUUAUUGAGUGCAAACGGCGUGGCAGGCAAUAGGUGAAGUACCUUAAAGACAUGUUCUCAGUUAAUCCCCACAAAAAUCUUAUUAUCACCUGCACGUUAUGGAGGAAAGUUCUAGGCCUCAGAGAGGUUUCGCAACUCAUCUAGGGUCAUACCCGUAAUAAGCAAGUAAUAGAGAGAAACCUCAGAUUCAGGUUAGAGCAAUGCAAAUGCCAUCUCUUAACAUGCCCCUACGCGGGUUCACCUUCGCUACCAUUUCUCAGGACACUCUGCACACUGGGUACUGCUGGUGGCCAUGUCGUCCUUUGGGCCGGCUACUUGGCCCAGUGGAAAGAACAUGGGGAUCUCAGAAUCUUCCUCUAGCUCGGGGGUUACUUUAGCUCCGGGAUUGUUUAGCUCUGGGAUUACCUUAUUGUGGCCUUGGGAAAAUUGUGCUCUACUUCAGUUUUCUGUACUGAAAAAUAGAAAAAUACUUACCUUGCAGGAUUUCUGUGAUGCUCGAUGACCUAUUACAUGUGGAAGUUCUUGAUAAACAAGAGUUAAAAUAUUGUUAUUUUUACUAUGUCCUAUCUCCAGUGCCUCUAAGCAGGGUCACAAGCUCCUCGGGGUCAGGCUCUGUGUGUACACCUCAUUAUUCUCAUAAAGUUUCUAGCCAGUGCUAAAAAUAUAACUGGCACUCAGAAGGAAGUGGUUGACCUAAUACAAAAAUCUUGUUCAUGAAUGUGCUUGCUCUAUAAUAUUUCCAAAUUGCCCUCCACAGGGCCUGAGCCAUUCUGCAUCCCAACAGCGGGAGUGGGUAAACACAACCAUUUCUGCAACUUUCACCAAUGCAGUGUGCUAAGCAUAGUCUUCUAUGUUUAACAGCCAUUUGUAUAUCUUUCUAUGUAAAUGGUUAUAGAUGGUAUUGAGCUGGUGGUCUUUUUUCUUCAUUGAUAUGUAGGGUAUAUAUUUGGGAGAUCAAGGCAAUAUAAUUUGCAAAACUUUUUUCCCCAGUGUGUCAUGUGUUUUAAACUUUGCUUAUGAUGCAAUUCAUUUUAAAAACAAAAGCAAAGAGGAGCCAGGUCAUAAGGCCUGUAGACAUUUAGAAGUGUCCACGUGAGCUGGAAAUGUACUUCCCUCCCUGUGGAUCCCCAGGAGUGUACGUUUGUGUGCCAAGGGAAAUACAGAGAUGCAGGAUCAACAAGGUGGAAACUUAAAAAAAAAAAAAAUAUAUAUA